rnacentral:rRNA from 1 species
UACGUAGGUGGCAAGCGUUGUCCGGAUUUACUGGGCGUAAAGAGCGCGCAGGCGGUCGUUCAAGUCGAGUGUGAAAGCCCCCCGGCUCAACUGGGGAGGGUCAUUCGAUACUGAUCGACUCGAAGGCAGGAGAGGGUAGUGGAAUUCCCGGUGUAGUGGUGAAAUGCGUAGAUAUCGGGAGGAACACCAGUGGCGAAGGCGACUACCUGGCCUGUUCUUGACGCUGAGG